GACGAACCGAGCGAACGUUAUUCGGAAUCACUGGGCUUAAAGGGCGCGUAGGCGGGCCGUCAAGUCAGGGGUGAAAGCCCCCAGCUCAACUGGGGAAGUGCCUUUGAUACUGACGGCCUCGAGGGAGAUAGGGGCGUGCGGAACUUCCGGUGGAGCGGUGAAAUGCGUAGAUAUCUGGAGGAACACCGGUGGCGAAGGCGACAUCCUGGACCGGUAUUGACGCUGAGGCGCGAAAGCCAGGGGAGCAAACGGG
rnacentral:rRNA from 1 species